rnacentral:lncRNA from 1 species
UUUGUUACAGCCAGCCCGUGUGUGCCUCCCAUGCUACAUGGAUGCUGCAGCUUCUUUAGCGCUGCUGCAAUGAGUACGUGUGGCAGCUGGUGUCCGUGUUAAAUGUGGCUGCUGCUGGACUCCAAGACUGCUGCUCGAGAAGCUCUUCUGGAAGGAUGCAGACGUGAAGGCCUCUUCAUCUCUAGCCCAAAGUGUCCGUGAGGAGGCUUAGUUGGAUCGUGUGCUGUGACACACCAUGUGUGCUGCUGGAUUCAUCUUUUGCUAUUGCAUCGUGAGCUUCUCCCAGCUGCUGAAUAAAACUGGACGUGCAUGCUUGGGCGUGAAAAGCUUGUUGGACCAUCUUCCAUAUAUGCGUGUUGGUGCAACGCUGCUUGGGCCAUGGAGAGCUUCCUAAAGCCUGCUGAUGCAAUUCCUUAAGUAAUUAACUUUGUGCCUUGCUGAAUGAAGACAAGCCGUGAGCAGCUGCAAUUUGUUGAACAGCAUGUUCUCUUUUCCAUGUGCACCACCAAAUAUUAAAUCCACACCUCCUUCUUGGGACGUGAUGCUUCCAGCUUUUCUUUAACUUCAGCAUUAUGCUUUUGAAUUGGCAUAUGCGUGUGCUACUUUUUACUUGAUGCCACC